rnacentral:rRNA from 1 species
ACUUAAGCAUAUCAGUAAGCGGAGGAAAAGAAACUAACAAGGAUUCCCCUAGUAACUGCGAGUGAAGCGGGAAAAGCUCAAAUUUAAAAUCUGGCAGUCUUUGGCUGUCUGAGUUGUAAUUUAGAGAAGCACUGCCUGUGCUGGACUGUGUACAAGUCUCCUGGAAUGGAGCGUCAUAGAGGGUGAGAAUCCCGUAUAUGACACAGUUGCCAGGGCUUAGUGGCAUGCUCUCCAAGAGUCGAGUUGUUUGGGAAUGCAGCUCAAAAUGGGUGGUAAAUUCCAUCUAAAGCUAAAUAUAGGCGAGAAACCGAUAGCGAACAAGUACCGUGAGGGAAAGAUGAAAAGAACUUUGGAAAGAGAGUUAAACAGUACGUGAAAUUGUUGAAAGGGAAACGCUUGAAGUCAGUCACAUUGCUGGAAAUCACGCUUGCCUUGGCUUGUGGCUCUUUCCUAGUAAUGGGUCAGCAUCAGUUUUGAUUGUUGGACAAGGGUUAGAGGAAUGUGGCAUCCUUGGAUGUGUUAUAGCCUCUGAUCACAUGCAAUGAUUGAGACUGAGGAACUCAGCACUUGUGCUUAGGAUGCUGGCAUAAUGGCUUUAAUCGACCCGUCUUGAAACACGGACCAAGGAGUCUAACAUGCCUGCAAGUGUUUGGGUGGAAAACUCAAGCGCGCAAUGAAAGUGAAAGUUGAGACCCUUGUCAUGAGGGGCAUCGACGCCCGGACCUGAACACCUGUGACGGUUCUGCGGUAGAGCAUGUAUGUUGGGACCCGAAAGAUGGUGAACUAUGCCUGAAUAGGGUGAAGCCAGAGGAAACUCUGGUGGAAGCUCGUAGCGAUUCUGACGUGCAAAUCGAUCGUCGAAUUUGGGUAUAGGGGCGAAAGACUAAUCGAACCAUCUAGUAGCUGGUCC